AAUAAAUGUUAUUAUCUAAAAGAGUUAACUGUAAAUUUAAUAAUUUAUUAAUUAACAAAUAAUAUUUAAUAUUUAUUUUGGUAUUCCCAAACAACAUUUUUUAGUAAUAUGUUUGGAAAACUUGUAAGUGUAAAAGAUUAUGAAAACUAUGCAGCUAAUACAUUAUCAAAAACAGUUCUUGAUUUCUAUAAAAGUGGAGCUUGUGAUGAAUAUACACUUUCACUUAAUGAACAGGCGUUUAGUAGGUUACGGAUCAUCCCUAAUAUGUUACGUAAUGUUUGCAACCGUAACUACAACUUAACCAUCUUAGGUAAUCAAGUGAAAAUUCCAAUUGGUAUAUCUCCAUGUUCUAUGCAUAAAAUGGCCCAUGAGGAUGGAGAAUGUGCAUCUGCUCAAGCUGCUGGAAAACAUGGAGCAAUAUUUAUACUUGCAACAUUAUCUACGUGUAGCAUAGAAGAAGUAGCACUUGCUGCACCUGAAACUAUUAAAUGGUUUCAAUUAUACAUUUACAAAGAUAAAGAAAUAAAUAAGACAUUAAUAAAACGAGCUGAAAAAGCUGGAUACAAGGCUCUUGUAAUAACUGUUGAUGUUCCAGUUAUGGGUAUUCGAUACAAAGAUGAAAAAAAUAAAUUCUACUUACCUAGUUAUUUGAAACCAGGUAAUUUUACCGAAGAAAAAUAUAUUAUACCCAAAUGUGAUGGUUCUGGUUUAACAAACUAUGUUACUAGUUUAUUUGAAGAAAAACUUGUGUGGGAGGAUGUUAAAUGGCUUAAAAGUAUAACAAAUCUACCAAUAGUUGUAAAAGGAAUUUUAAGUGUAGCCGAUGCUAAAAUAGCUGCUGAUAUUGGAUGCCAUGCAGUUUUUGUUUCAAAUCAUGGUGGUAGACAGCUAGAUACUGCACCUGCUUCUAUUGAAGCUUUACCAAGUAUAGUUAAAGAAGUUGGGCAUAGAAUUGAUGUCUACCUUGAUUGUGGUAUAAGACAUGGAACUGAUGUAUUCAAAGCAUUAGCACUUGGCGCUAAAAUGGUAUUUUUAGCUCGGCCUAUUUUGUGGGGCUUAACAUAUGAUGGUCUAAAAGGAGCUGAAAAUAUUUUAGGAAUUAUUAUAAAUGAAUUUGAUAAUACAAUGGCUUUAACAGGUUCAAGAAGGCAAUAAUUUUAAAUAAAUGAAUUUCAAAAAAUGAUAAUUGGAUCAAAAGUUAUAAGCGUCAAUUAGAUCUGAGAAAUUGUAUCUAUAAAUAAAUGUUGUAGGACAUUAGAUGACAUUAAAAAAGAUAUGGUUGUUCAUGAAUCUAUUUAUUCAAAACUUUGAUUUUUUUUUUUAUGUAAAAACAAUUUUACCAAUAAUUUUGUAAAUUAUUUUAUUAUCUUAUCAAAUGUUGAAUUUAUAUAUAUUAUAUACAGUGUAAUUUAAUAAGAUUACUAGCCUCCUUUUUAUUAUUUGUUAAAUAAUAAUUUUUUUUCAAAAUUUUA